UUAAUGAGAAAAUGAUGAGAUUCAAACAGGGCCUUAAUCUCGUUUGCUUCAAGCAAAGUCUUUGAUACAUACAUACAUACAUAUGUAUGUAUGUGUGUGUAUAUAUAUAUAUAUAGCAGUGUACUAUUUUGUCACCCAAACAAUAGCUAAGCACCAAUAAUGCUACAUAACAGGAAAAUGCAUAGGUCUCAACAUUAUACAAGGAUUUGCAAAUUUGUCAGGCUGCUUGCUGAAAUUCUAAACACAUCACCCGAAACCCAGAAUGUUAUUGUUUGCACUUGGAGAUUUUCUGCAAUCAACCCAUAAUUCAUACAAGAAACAGCAAAAGAUUGUAAUAUUCUUAUUUUCACCAAGAAAACAUCCAUGUUUCACAAGGAAAGCCAAAUCCAUAGUCCAGAGUUCUAACAGUUGAGCAUAACAGCGGUUAAAUGAAAAGGACACAAGGGUUCAUGUGGACCAUCACUUUAGUACUCGAACUGACAAUGAAAGUGCAAGAGAUUUGACUUCCCUCCCCGUUGGUUUGUUACUUCUUUCCUCGCAGCUUCGCUCCGAGAGCCCUCUCGAGUUUAGAAAUUAUCUGCUGA
rnacentral:lncRNA from 1 species